rnacentral:misc_RNA from 1 species
GAUGAAGAACGUAGCGAAAUGCGAUACGUAAUGUGAAUUGCAGAAUUCAGUGAAUCAUCGAAUCUUUGAACGCACAUUGCGCCCCCUGGUAUUCCGGGGGGCAUGCCUGUUCGAGCGUCAUUUCACCACUCAAGCCUCGCUUGGUAUUGGGCAACGCGGUCCGCCGCGUGCCUCAAAUCGACCGGCUGGGUCUUCUGUCCCCUAAGCGUUGUGGAAACUAUUCGCUAAAGGGUGUUCGGGAGGCUACGCCGUAAAACAACCCCAUUUCUAAGGUUGACCUCGGAUCAGGUAGGGAUACCCGCUGAACUUAAGCAUAUCAAUAAGCGGAGGA